ACCUGGUGCUCCAGUUACAAACUCUGGCACCACAAGGAGCAAGCAGCCAGCACCAGAGCAGAGCUCACCCGCGUGGCUGCGCCCAGCAAGACGUUCUUCACCAGGCAUCUCCGAUCACUAGCCAUUCAGGGGACAUAAUUCUGAUCAAUAGAGGAGUCCCUGGCAGGUUUUGCUGUCUGUUACCAUGAACUGCAGAGGAAGAAGACCAAGCUCUGCUUUGGGAAGGUUAGAAAUAUCUCAGGUUAACAGAUUGAACAUCAAGUGACCCUGGAAGAGCUACAAAACUUAAAUGCACUCUUUCAGGAGUAUGAAAGGAGAGGAAGAGAGCUGCUGGAUAUGGAAACUUUCAAAUCCAUAAUGAAAUAGAGUAUGAGGUCACAGAAUAAAGUAAAUGGAUUUUAUAAUGUUGGACCAUGGAAACCACACUUAAAAAUGAACCAUAUGAACCAAUUACAUUGAUGUUCUAUCUAGUAUUGAACAAAUAGAACAACUGUUCAUGAAAAUAGACUAUGAAGCAGUGGGCUGAAUCCAGUGGGAUGGCUUCUGCACAUACCUGCAGCUACAGUAUUCAGAGCAAGUGGAAGCCUUGACCCGACAGAACAAGGUUUCCUUCCAGCCCCCUGCUGAGCUGCAGGGGCUGCCAUACGGGAGUCCCAUGAAGCGCAUUCUCUCUAUGCCCGACGACACCUUCAUCAUGACCAGAGAAGACGGAGCAAUUUAUUUCUGGUCCCUGCAGCUGAAGUUGAAAAGAAGAAAGAGGGUUUUUGAUAAGUGCACCACUCGGAAACCCAGGUGGGUGACAGAUGUCAUCAGCAUGCCGCAGCACAACAAACUGGUCAUAGGGA